UCCCUGUACUCAGAGGAUACAGAGAGGGGAAGAGCUGUCGCUAAGCAAGAAGAGGUGACAAGUGGAUGUCAGUGUUAUUUUUAUCUCUGGGAGGCCCAGCACAGAACUUGAUGAGAAACCAAGACCCAAAGGAGGUCACACAAUUGCCCGAAGUCACACAGAUCUGCCCAGAGCCAGCCUUUUAAAUGAACGUGUCUGUACAGUGGCCAGAAGAAGGCUCUGACCAGCAUGGGCUUUCAUCCCAUCUCCAGCUGGCCUGAAGCUCCUCACUGUGUUGUGACCUCGAGGACGAGGAUGGAAUUCUGGCAUGGAUUCCAAAGGUGUUCAGAAUGGCUGUGUUGCCCAGGUUCCCCUGUACCCCCGUCUGGUACAGCACACACAAGCUAGGCCUGAGAAGUCAGGUGUAUUCACUGAGCACACAUUUCCUUAUUGAGCCCCAGUAAUCCCAUGCCCUGUGCUGGGGUCUGCAGAGAUGAGUUGAAUUUGAUCUCCUCCCUCUAGGUCUUAAAAGAUGGCAAGGAGGUACCAAGGAGGAGUUGAUGAAGUACUAGGAAACAAGCUAGCAACAACAAACAAUAAAAUGAAAAGAAAAAUCACAGAGGUCCUAAAGCCCAAAUUUUCAAGGAACCUGAGCUGAAAGUCAGCUCUGUGGCCAGCUGUAUGCCACAGAGAUAUCCGAG
rnacentral:lncRNA from 1 species